UUCGAAAACUCAAUUGAUUAUCUUGAAACUCGUCCAUUUCUUUUCCACAAAUCAAAUCAAAUCUAAAAAGUUUUUCGAACAAUUAAUUUCUCCAUUUCAAAUUGGCGCCUUUCGAUUUACAAACGGAGCCCUGGGGGCGAAUCUUAUCCUCAAACUGAUUCCCGCUCAUUGAGAUUUUGUGAAUGAAAAGAUCAAUUGUCUCUUCGCUUGUGUUUAGUUUCUUAAUCAUUUUUAAUUGCUUGUCUUCUUAAUUGUUAUUAGUUAAAUUUUCUUAAUAGAGUUUGUCUCAAGUUCAAUUAAAAUAUGAACUCAAUAAAUUAUGUCAAGUGUGAUAAAAGAUACGAAUCUCUUUCUACUAUGACCCAAAGACUUGAAGAGAAGCUUAAACUGAUUGUGGGUAGAAAAUUUUUCGAGGAUGAUAACUAUGUUCAUAUUGAUUACCAUUCAUAUUUAUUCAAAUGUAAGCCAAGUUUGAUGAGUGGAAAAUUUUAAAUGAUUUUCUAUAAGAUUUUCUUUUUACUCUCUGGUAAUUUAAUCUAUUUUUACUUCAUCAUUUAAAACCGGUAAUUUCCAAAAGAUUGUAUGAAUAAAUUUUAUAUACACGUUCAUGUAAUAUAA